UUAGUUAACGGCACUGUUUAUGUUUAUUGGGGAAAUAAAAGGCACCUUUAUCGUGCAAUUACUCAGGAAUCGUUUUUUUUUUUUCAAAACAGAGGUCAAAAUUACAAUACAGGCAUACAUCAAAUUAAUAACUUAAAAUAUGUAAUCUUAAAUGUAUCAAGGAAAGAAUUCAAUUCUAACAAAUUAUUUUAAACGCGUUAUGUUUAUUUGCCUCCUCUGUUUGCGCCAUACAUCUGUAAAACGAUGUAAAAACGAAAUAGUCCGAGGCUAAAGCAUCAAGAAGAACAGUCUAAAACAAAGUGAUACAUGGAUUCAAUGUUAGAUCACUGACAAAGGGUUUAGUUAAAGAGCGGUGUGUAUGAAACUGCCUUUGCUGCGGUUUUGCAUUAGCAGGCUGUGGACGACAGGCGCUGAAAUCGUGUUAAUAAGUGGAAGGGGUAGGUUACAGAACACUGCCGAUUCACGAUCACACAAAUACUCAAGGACAGGUCCCCUCGGCCCCGGGGCGCUUCCGGACCCUGCACAACAGCAGCAGGACGCAUCUUACCAGUGAAAACCAGAGACCAGUCUCAUUUAAGAGAUUAUACAUCUAAUACACGUUAGAAUCGUGACACAAACCUUCAACACAUAGAAGUGUGGCAGAGAUACUCGUGUUGGCAUGUACAGGUGCUAGGCCCUGUUUACUAACAACAAUAGCAACCACUGGAGCUUUUAUUUUUGACCAUCGAUACUGCAGUUAUUUUAAAUCCUUUAAUGGUUAUUAAAUGGUUUGCAAAAUGACAUUGCAUGUGAUAUAUGAAACGAAAGCAGUAAAAAACUGACCUGUCUGCAGUUCACAUAAGGUCUACGAAUAAACCAGAACCCAAAGUUUGUUCACGUCAAAGGUCGCAUUAUUUUUAAAAAGAAAUCAAACACUACACGUUUUCCUUCAGCAAAGAUUCUUCAUUUCUUUAAAACAGUUUGAAAAGAAAUCGAAUGAGUAAUGUGAGCACACUGUAUGUUUGGGAGAAUACAACAGAGAUGGUCGUAGAUAUAUGUUUUAAUUAUAAAGACAUAUAAACAAUAUACAGUAUGAAACUCAUGUCGCAACGAGAUCAAAUGCUUUGUAGGCUUGAUCAAGUAUUCUUCACAGUUGUACAAUACAAUCAAGUGAAUUGUGCAAUAACAAAAACAAAAUCGUUUUAGGCCAAACAUUUGAGAAUGUUACACCGUGUUUCCUUAUACACCGAUGGAGGUGAGACAGUUCAGUUUCCGUUUAUACAUUUCUGACUCGGGUUUUUAAGAAAUUACUGUUUUUGGGUAUUUGCAGUAAAUUGCAUAGUUCACCAAUAACGCUGAACCCAAAAGAGAAAAUGUUUGAAUUGAGAAAUAAGUCCUCCGCAAGUUGUGAACCUAGAAUUUCUUGUUUGUUUGUUAGUUUUUCACACAAAUACUAAUCAUUUUCAAUCCAUCACUUGGGAUAAAAGGGAAAAGGCUUUUAAAAAUUGAGGGGUUUAAAAGCUUGCCCCAGUAAUACCGUGUCCUUCAGUUAACAUUAUUUAUUGUGUUAUCUAAUAAAUCAACUUAGUUACACGCAGCAGGGGUUUUGAAUCAGACCUAAGCCCGUUCCCAACAAAACGACGCGAAUUCAGAGCAACAUAAGAAUGGAGCAGGAAGAGUUCAGCAAGUGGAAGUCAAGGCUUGUCGUUGCAGUGUUUGAACAGGUUGGACGGAGUCCCGUUGAACGAGCUGCAUUUCUCCGCGCAGGUGGCCAGCGCAGUGCUCGAAAACGGAUACACGGCCGCCUGUCCGAAAGGCGCGAGCGCGGUAGGAAUCGGCGAAGUUAUAGUCUGUCCUUGGUUCAGAUAAGCCACCAGCCGGCGCAUUUCCUCCAGCGCCUGCGCCUGCAUUAGGAUGUAGUUUUUUGCAAGAAGCAAAGUUGCGAUUUUAGAGAGUUUUCUCACAGACGGACUGUGCGCGUAGGGGAUCACAGACCUCAGGCCGUCCAGCGCGUCGUUCAGGUCGUGCAUGCGUCUCCGCUCGCGCGCGUUGAUGCUCAGCCGGAGAGAUCUCUGCUCCUUCGGCUUCUUGGAGAGCGCGCUCGGAUGCUUCUCUUCGUCGAAGCCCGCGCCUCUCUUACGAGACUCGAGGUGGUCGAAGCCGUCGUCUUCAUCGCUGGUCUGCUCUCCGCCGCUUUCGUUCGACUUUCCCGUUUGACCGGAGAGGAAAUCCGCGGCAGGUGUGAGGGAGAAGCGGCCGGGACCUCCAGCACCAUGGCCAGCGCCGAAGCCGAAGGCGGACUGUCCGUAGCGCUGCGUCAGGUCCAGCAGGGUGUCGUUGCUGAUCGAUUUCAGCAAGUUUUCUUCGCCGGCAUUCAUUUUGGAGAAACGAAAUAAAACUAAAACAAAAAAAUGGAGCGGAUGGAAAACUUUGGCGCGCGCUCUUGAAAGCUUCCUCGCGCUGUCUUCUUUCUUUUCUUUCGUUGGCGUUCUCCAAAGGGCUGCUGGAAAUGAAGACACUUUUUGAUAGAGAUCUUUCUUCCCCAAUCACGCUCUUCCGCGCAGACAGCGAUGUUGCGUGCACUUUAGACGCGUCGUCUGAACUCGCGAGCGUUCUUGCAGUGAGUCUUGCCCUCGCCCUGGGCAGAUUGAGACUCGCGCGCAGUCCUACUCGAGAGCUAAAUUCAGUUUGUUGUAUAUGUGACCUGACGCGUGUCUCUUGUUGGACACGGAGGAAGUGAAUGGGGAGGAGAGCACGUGCUGUGAGGGAUUAAUCGCAUGGUCUGGAUGAGGCCCAAAAGUGAGCUUCAACACCUCCAGCCAAACUCCAAGGCCGCUUCAUCUACAAUAAAUGUGAAGAUGAGGACAUUUUCCUGAGUAUUUGCGGGCUAUUCCCUUUGCUGGGGCAGCAGCGUGUGAUCAGCGGGAGUUUUUUUUUUUUUGGAGCAGAGGCAAGCGGUUCUCUGAGAGUUAUCAUUCAGCGUGUGAUAUCAGGCUCCGAGGCCCUCCAGCCAAACACCCGCCAGAGACGUCUCCUGCCGAUGUCCUAACACGCCAUGAAAUUAUAGGGCUCCUUGGCUAUUGUGAGAGAGCUGUUUGAAGUCUCAUUCUGACGGCACCCAUUCACUGCAGAGGAUCCAUUGGUGAGCAAGUGAUGUAAUGCUAAAUUUAUCCAAAUCUGUUCCGAUGAAGAAACAAACUCAUCUACACCUUGGAUAUCUUGAAGAGCGGCUCCAUUGAUCGGAGGAGCCAUUUCUCCUGUCGUGCAAACAUCUGGCUGGAGGCCCUGGUGUGUGCGGAGCAGGGGACAGAUGAGCUGUCGCUGUGUCUGACUGAUGAGGCUGGUCGCUAGAGGACGGUCACCAUGGAGAUAAUAGCUCUUUUGUCUACAGGUAUAAAAUUCUAUCCCACAGACAGAACUUUGGGAGAAGCUAAGAUUCUUACAAGGGUUAAGACUGUGUGAAGGAUGACAUGCUUACAUUGCAACUGAAGAACUG
ensembl:lncRNA